UACGGAAGGCAGCAGUGGGGAAUAUUGCACAAUGGGCGCAAGCCUGAUGCAGCCAUGCCGCGUGUAUGAAGAAGGCCUUCGGGUUGUAAAGUACUUUCAGUCGUGAGGAAGGUGUUAAGGUUAAUAACCUUAGCAAUUGACGUUAGCGACAGAAGAAGCACCGGCUAACUCCGUGCCAGCAGCCGCGGUAAUACGGAGGGUGCGAGCGUUAAUCGGAAUUACUGGGCGUAAAGGGCACGCAGGCGGUUAAUUAAGUUGGAUGUGAAAUCCCCGGGCUUAACCUGGGAAUGGCAUUCAAGACUGGUUAGCUAGAGUCUUGUAGAGGGGGUAGAAUUCCAUGUGUAGCGGUGAAAUGCGUAGAGAUGUGGAGGAAUACCGGUGGCGAAGGCGGCCCCGUGGACAAAGGACUGACGCUCAUGUGCGAAAGCGUGGGGAGCAAACG
rnacentral:rRNA from 1 species